rnacentral:rRNA from 1 species
UACGGGGGGAGCAAGCGUUGUUCGGAAUUAUUGGGCGUAAAGAGCUCGUAGGCGGUUCGUCGCGUCGGCUGUGAAAUCCCGAGGCUCAACCUCGGGUCUGCAGUCGAUACGGGCGGACUGGAGUUCGGCAGGGGAGACUGGAAUUCCUGGUGUAGCGGUGAAAUGCGCAGAUAUCAGGAGGAACACCGGUGGCGAAGGCGGGUCUCUGGGCCGAUACUGACGCUGAGGAGCGAAAGCGUGGGGAGCGAACAGG